GGAAGGAUGGCCGAGUGGUUGAUGGCGCCAGUCUUGAAAACUGGAGUAGGGGAAAUCCUACCGGGGGUUCGAAUCCCUCUCCUUCCG
rnacentral:tRNA from 1 species